AUUGAACGCUGGCGGCAGGCCUAACACAUGCAAGUCGAACGAGUGGCGGACGGGUGAGUAAUGUCUGGGAAACUGCCUGAUGGAGGGGGAUAACUACUGGAAACGGUAGCUAAUACCGCAUACCAUCGGAUGUUCCCAGAUGGGAUUAGCUAGUAGGUGGGGUAAAGGCUCACCUAGGCGACGAUCCCUCGCUGGUCUGAGCGGAUGACCAGCCACACUGGCACUGUGACACGGUCCAGACUCCUACGGAAGGCAGCAGUGGGGAAUAUGGCACAAGUGGCGCAAGCCUGAUGCAGCCAUGCCGCGUGUAUGAAGAAGGCCUUCGGGUUGUAAAGUACUUUCAGCGGGGAGGCGUUACCCGCAGAAGAAGCACCGGCUAACUCCGUGCCAGCAGCCGCGGUAAUAC
rnacentral:rRNA from 1 species